CCUACGGGAGGCAGCAGUGGGGAAUAUUGGGCAAUGGAGGCAACUCUGACCCAGCAACGCCGCGUGAGCGAUGAAGGUCUUCGGAUUUUAAAGCUCCUUAAGUGGGGACGAAGAAAGUGACUGUACUCGCAGAAUAAGCCUCGGCGAACUACGUGCCAGCAGUCGCGGUAAUACGUAGGAGGCAAGCGUUAUCCGGAAUGACUGGGCGUAAAGGGUGCUUAGGUGGGUUGGGAAGUUGGUAGCGUAAUCCCGGGGCUCAACCUUGGUGCUGCUGCUGAAACUGGUGGACUUGAGUGCAGGAGGGGUAAAUGGAAUGCGCAGUGUAGCGGUGGAAUGCAUAGAUAUUAGGAAGAACACCGACGGCGAAGGC
rnacentral:rRNA from 1 species